rnacentral:rRNA from 1 species
UAGGGAAUCUUCGGCAAUGGACGGAAGUCUGACCGAGCAACGCCGCGUGAGUGAAGAAGGUUUUCGGAUCGUAAAGCUCUGUUGUUAGAGAAGAACGUUGGUAGGAGUGGAAAAUCUACCAAGUGACGGUAACUAACCAGAAAGGGACGGCUAACUACGUGCCAGCAGCCGCGGUAAUACGUAGGUCCCGAGCGUUGUCCGGAUUUAUUGGGCGUAAAGCGAGCGCAGGCAGUUCUUUAAGUCUGAAGUUAAAGGCAGUGGCUUAACCAUUGUACGCUUUGGAAACUGGAGGACUUGAGUGCAGAAGGGGGGAGUGGAAUUCCAUGUGUAGCAGUGAAAUGCGUAGAUAUAUGGAGGAACACCGGUGGCGAAAGCGGCUCUCUGGUCUGUAACUGACGCUGAGGCUCGAAAGCGUGGGGAGCAAACAGG